rnacentral:rRNA from 1 species
ACGGGUGCGUAACACGUGAACAAUCUGCCGAGAAGUGGGGGAUAGCUUGCCGAAAGGCAAAUUAAUACCGCAUAUGGCCAUUCUUCUAUUGGAGAAAAAGCCAAAGCCGCAAGGCGCUUCUUGAUGAGUUCGCGGCCUAUCAGCUAGAUGGCGGGGUAACGGCCCACCAUGGCUAUGACGGGUAGCUGGUCUGAGAGGACGACCAGCCACACUGGAACUGAGACACGGUCCAGACACCUACGGGUGGCAGCAGUCGAGAAUUUUUCACAAUGGGGGAAACCCUGAUGGAGCGACGCCGCGUGGAGGAUGAAGGCCUUCGGGUCGUAAACUCCUGUCAUGCGGGAACAAGAAAGUGAUAGUACCGCAAGAGGAAGAGACGGCUAACUCUGUGCCAGCAGCCGCGGUAAUACAGAGGUCUCAAGCGUUGUUCGGAUUCAUUGGGCGUAAAGGGUGCGUAGGUGGUGACGUAAGUCUAAUGUGAAAUCUCGGGGCUUAACCCCGAAAUUGCAUCGGAUACUGCGUGACUAGAGGACUGUAGAGGAGAUUGGAAUUCACGGUGUAGCAGUGAAAUGCGCAGA